GGCUUGUCCUGCUAGCAAGUACAGAGCUCAGGGCAGUCAUGAGACUCUUCACUCUACAUGGAGCAGGAAAAGAACAUCAUCCAAUGACAGAAAGGAAGAAAAAAAAAACCCAAAACCAACCAGGAUUCAUCUCAUGCUUACCAGCAAAUCCCCAUGCCUCAAGCAGAGGAAUUUUAGGGUGAGAAAGGAGCAUACCCUAGAACAAUCCUGCUGCCAGCGACAGUUUCACUUUAGCUUUGUCUCAUCAAAGGCAAGAUGAAAGCCAGCAGAGUGGCUAUGAAGAGCUAAAUUUCUGAAGAACAAUGGCAUUGUGUUGAAUUAGGGCCACAGCAUUGAAUUCCAGAAGCUUUUUAAAGUUAUUAUGUAUUAACUGAGCCACUGUAUCUGCAUGUGACUGUGCUUGGAGAUUGCCUCAAGACCUCUGUGUCUGAGCUUAAGCAAUAAUGAAUGAGGUUGAGGCUCAUGCAUUUUGCCUUGACUUUGAGAGUGAAAAAAUCCCAACCUGUGAUGGAGAAUGGUGUCAGCUGAGGAGAUUGGUGGUAACUUGUUAAGCCUUUCUGACUCAUCUGUGUCAAAUCUCCUGCCUGUGCCCUUAGCUGCAGUUAACUGGACUUUGGGGCAGAUAGAGAAAUAAAUGCAGAGACUGAGGAAAAAAAAAAUACCCAGCACUCCAAACACACUUGGCUACUCAAAAACGUGCCUGGGAAAAAAAUGCUCAGUUAAAAGAGACACCUAAAUUAUUCACCAACUUUUUAAAGUUUUACACUCUCUGUCAUUGAUUUCUGACUCUGGCAUAUUCAUCAUCAUAUGACAUGUUAUUGAAUUACUGACUCUCACCAAACUGAAACAAACUGGUCAAUUCUUUAUGUUCUUAGGAGAAACAGAAAAACAGAGAGGCUGAUCUCUGCAUUAUCCCACUUCAACCCUGUUUAUCUUGUUCUUUCAAACUGUUGCAAGUUAUUCAAAUGAAUAUUUAGGUGUUGAAUACCUCCAGCUUUCAUUCAGGUGUCAAAGGACUGACCAGGUUAAACCUUUCCAUAAUUUAAGGUCCUUAAAAAUAUGGAGUGACUCUUGGAAAGUAGAAUAGGAUUCACUUCACAGAAAUUCACUGUAUAUUUUACUAUCUCCAUUAUAAAAGUCUAAUCUAGAUAAUUCUAUAGUUAUCUGAUAAAAAUAACCCUUUCAGAGAGUAAUGUAUAAAUCAUUUCAGAUAUUUGGGUGAAAAAAAACAUAAAUGCUCUCCACUUCCUCUUGAGAGUCUCAACAGCUCACAUUACAGGUUUUUUUGCUUUCUUUGAAUUAAAAAGCCUUACUUAAAUUGUGGCAAGGCUUUGCAUAUAUUCAUCAUUUUCCAUCUGGAAAGUCUUCCAUUAUUAAUACAUAAGCUGAGCUCAAGUAGAAAAAUACAUUUUCUCCUAUUUUAUGUGAGGCACAAAGGCUGCUUUCUGAAGAUGCAUUCAUCAAAGGGGCAUUCCUUUAAUGAAUUGCUUGUGCUGUGAAUAUUCCCUGCUCCCUUGUCACCCUGUGUGACCAGAGUGUGCUUCACUGGAGGGCACUGCCUAAUUUGAUGGAGGUAGAAGAGCCUCUCUCUGCACAGGUUCUAAUGGAUUUCCCUCAUUCCCAGGCUCUUGGCCUCUUGCUGAUCCUCCUGCCCUCCAAUUGUGCUUCAUGAGAGAGCUCUUGGUAUUGCUGAGGUUGGAGGAGCUGCUGUCAGGGCUGAAAGAAACCAUUCACCAGCUAUGGGAAAAGAUUCCAGAGCCCCAAAAAGGUGUCCACACUGUGUCAUUGUGGUUGAAAAGAGCCUUUUGCAGAGCUGGGCAUCACAUGCAAAUUUCCUGAGACUUAAACUCAAUUCCAUUCAUCUUCCCCAAUUAAUGAUUUUAUGCACAGAACAAUAGCCAGUGUUCUGGACAGUAGAGAGACAACAAAAUGGCAAGUCUAUUUGUCUGCUUCUUUGCUUCUUGUGCAUGGGAGCUGUGAGCACUCACAGAGCCUGUAAUACCAAGAUUUAUUUAAACUGGGAAGUUCAUAAGGCCUUGAUCAAAACAAACAUAAUUCCAUUCAUUGAGCAGGAUCACGGGAGUGCACUGAACUGAUAUUGAUCUGAUUAUGGCAGUAUCUGGAUUAAACAUUCUGAUCCUGAAGGUUUAAGAUGUUCAAGAUUAAGGAAAAAAAGCAGAGACAAGACCCAGUAGUAUACAGAGUGCUGGAUAGCUUUUUGUAUUCUCCUCUUUUCCUCCCUUUUUUAAAGCUUCUUCCCUUCUGAGCUUGAAAUAUUAAAGACUACAAGCUGUUCUGCAUAGCUGGAAACCUGCAGACACAAAACAAUGUAGAUAUGCUUGUGUCAGUUAUACCUUGCUCCAUUUAUUAAAAUACUGUUUUAAGUAUGUCUGGUUUAAAUCCACCUUUCAUUAUUUAGUUGUUUUUAUUUU